GGCAAGUUCUGGCCAAGCGCUCACCAUUCUGCAGAAUAAGGAUCAGAACUUUACAGAGGUAAACUGUGUGUUGUUUUUACUAUUACAGCAGUUCAUCGUGGCCCUGUCGUUCGCCUCCUUCACCAAAGCUCUGUCAGGGACCUACAUGAAGAGUGCCAUCACUCAGAGAGACACUUUGACCUGUCCAGCUCUCUCAUCGGACUCAUAGAGGACAGCUUUGAGAUGGGUAACCUGCUGUUCCUGGCUGUGGUCAGCCAUUUUGGGGCGAAGCUGCACCGGCCCAAGCUCAUUGAUGGGGUUAGGAUUUGGGCUAAAUCAACUGAUGCUGAUGUAAUUGUGUUUUCUGAAACCUGGCUCAGAAAGUCUGUUUUUGAUAAGGAUAUUUGUAUAAGUGGUUACAGUGUUUAUCGCACUGAUCGAGUUAAGAAAGGUGGGGGUGUGGCUAUAUAUGUAAAAACAAAUUUUCCUGUAAGUGUGGCAAAGUCUGAAACUAUUUGUAAACAGUUGGAAUUUCUUGCUUUGAAUUUUGAGGUUUCAAAGGGUCUUUCUAUAACUGUGAUUGGCUGUUAUAGAGCUCCUUCUGCUCUCGGUGAUGCAUUUUCUUCUUUGACGCACCUUAUGUCUAAACUUCUUUACAUUGAAAUGAUCUUGAUUGGUGAUCUCAACUGGUGUUGGUUAAAGCCGGUGUCUGAUGAUUUAAAAAUGUUUUGUAAUUCUAUGAAUCUUACCCAGUUGAUUAACUCACCCACUCGCCCAAAUCUUAAAUGCCCAGAUAAAUCUACCCUGAUUAUUUUAUAUUAACAAAUGUUCCAAAUAAAUAUCCUGCGGUUGGUGUUUUUUGUAAUGAUUUAAGUGACCAUUGUUCUGUUGUUGCUGUUAGAAAUACUAAGGUUCCUAAGACAAACCCACGUUUUAUUCAUAAGAGAAAUGUGAAGUGUUUUAAUGAGCAGGCUUUCGUUCAUGAUUUGUUUUAUUUUGACUGGAGCUAGAUUGAGUUUAUCCCUGAUGUGGAAACUGCCUGGAUAUUCUUUCAUUAUGUUUUUUUCCAAAUAGUCAACAAACAUGCCCCAUUCCGCAGGUUCAGGGUUAAAGGGCGGGAUAAUCCAUGGUUUUCUUCUGAGCUGUCUUGUAUUAUUCACGAUCGUAAUCUAGCCUGGGCUAAAGCAAGGAAAUAAUGUUGUGAUGCUGAUUGGCUUAUUUUUAGGCAGUUACAAAACGAGUGUUCUUUUCUUCUCAGGAAGGCCAAGUCUGAAUAUUUUAUGUCUUUUACCACUGAUAACCUGAAUGACCCUAGAAAGUUUUGGAAGGCUAUUAAGUCUAUGUCUGGUAACAGUAAUGUUAAUGAAUUACCGUCAUGUGUUUUGAAGGACUCUGUUGCUGUAUAUGACAAAACUGAAAUGCUGAAUUGUUUCAAUGAGCACUUUGUAUCAUCUGGUAGGCUGUUUAAUUCAGUGUCCUCUGUCUCUGUACAACCCUGUGUGGAUGAACCAGCGUCUUCUGUCUCUGUACAACCCUGUGUGGAUGAACCAGUGUCCUCUGUGUGUGGAUGAACCAGUGAGAGCUGGUCAAACGUUUAGCUUUUUGCCAUUCUCAGUGCAGGUGGUACAUAAAGCCCUGAAAUCCUUAGAUCAGAGAAAGCCUGCAGGUCCUGAUCUUUUGGAUCCCUACUUUUUAAAUCUGGCAGCUGAUUUCAUAGCUGAACCACUUACAUAUCUGUUUAUCUAACCCUGGAAUGUAAUGAAAUUCCGAAAAUCUGGAAAUCAUCAUUUGUCCUACCACUUUUAAAAGGGGGAGAUCCAACUCUUUUAAAUAAUUAUAGGCCAAUCUCAAAGCUGUCACCCCCGGUGAAAAUACUUGAAACCCUUGUGAGUGAACAGCUAAGAGUUUUUAUUUACUAACUCUAUUUUAUCAAUGUAUUUAUCGGGCUUCAGGAAGAAGCAUAGCCAAUUACAGCAGCCAUGAAGGUUUUCAAUGAUAUCACUGAAGCCCUUGACAAAAAACACCACUGUGUCUCACUAAGGCUUUUGAUACAGUUGAUCAUGCUAUACUAAGGCAGAGAUUGUCGAGUGUAGGUCUUUCAGAGCAUGGUUUGCUAACUGUCUGAUAGAACUCAGUGCACUCAAUUUGAUGGGCUGUUAAAUUAUCUGUAUUUAAUGGUGUGCCCCAAGGCUCUGUACUUGGUCCUCUCUUAUUCACUAUUUAUAUAAAUGAUUUAGACAAAAAUGUCCAAAAUGCGCAACUUCAUUUUUAUGCUGAUGAUACUGUUAUUUACUGUUGUGCCUAGUCUCUUACAAAAGCUUUCCAGAACUUGCAACCUGCUUUUUAUACUGUUCAACAUACCUUGUGUCAAUUGAAGCUUAUCCUCAAUACUGACAAAACUAAACUAAUGGUGUUUUAUAAAGCAAGAAAUAGACCUCUGAACCUUUCACCUAUUACUACCUGUCAGGGCAAGGAGAUUGAGGUUGUAACCUCAUAUAAAUAUCUUGGAAUUUUAAUUGAUGACGGACUCUCUUUUAAAUUGCAUAUUCAACAAAUUACCAUAUUAUUUUUGCUGAAAUUGGGAUUUUAUUUUAGGAAUAAGGCCUGUUUUUCUUUUGAAGCCAGAAGGAGGCUAGUAUCAGCUACAUUUAUGCCUUUACUAGACUAUGGGGAUAUUUUAUAUAUGAAUGCUUCCGCUCAGUGUUUGAGACCAAUUGACACCCUUUACCAUGGCACUUUGAGAUUUAUUUAAAACUGCAAAACCCUUACGCACCACUGCACUUUGUAUACCAGGGUUGGUUGGCCUUCUCUAGUCAGUCGUAGGCUCAGUCACUGGUAUACUUUUAUUUAUAAAGCCAUUUUGGGUUUACUACCUUUUUUAUUUGGGCAUUUUUAUUGUUCAGAAAUGUGAUGGGUACUCUCUUCGUUCGCUGGACUUUAUCCUGCUAACUGUUCCAAAUGUCCGAACUGAAUUUGGUAAAAGGGCUUUUAUGUACUCUGCGCCAUCGUCUUGGAACUUCUUACAAAAUACUUUUAAACUGGAAGAACUUGUCCCGAUUUGGUAUUUUUAAAUCACUGAUGAAUGAUCUUGAGACUGAUUCCCUGACCUGUCAAUGUUUUUAUUUAGCUGUUUUUCAUUUUUGUUUUCCUCUUGUGAAUUCUAUGGUUUUUACUAGAUUACUUGUGGUUUUUCAUGUUGUUUGUCUGUAAUUUUUGUAAUGACUUGGUGCUGCCUAUCUUGGCCAGGACCCUCUUGAAAAAGAGAUUUUAAAUCUCAAUGAGCCCUUCCUGGUUAAAUAAAGGUUAAAUAAAACAUUAAAAAAAUUGCUAUGGGCUGUUUCCUCAUGGCUGUAGGAUCCUUCCUCACAGGCCUUCCACACUUCUUCAUGGGACGGUAAAUCGAAUGAAAUACUGGUUAAACUUGUACUUGUAGAGAUACUCCAAUGCGGAGGAUAGUUUCACUUUAGAAAUAAAGAAAUGUAUCCAGUUGUUGAUUAAUCUCAGUUAAUUUAGAACUAAAGUCUUGCGUAAUUGGUCAGCUGCUUGAUUAUGUUUUGGGGCCAUACAUGUGAAGAGAAGGGAUUAAGAGAUGCUAUAACUGACGUGGUAAGGUUGGACCCAGGUGCAGAGAAGAGACCAGAAGAUGAAGCAGUGGUUCCAACCAGUGUCUCCACCCCUCCAGGGCCCACUAAACUGCCAAGAGCUCCCGGUUGCCUACAUUGUAGUUGCCUUCUGCUGGCGAGAACCGCUUGGAGAGAAAGUCACAUGGGUGCAGUUUCUUGUCCUCGUUCCGCUGUGAAAGGACCACCCGAGCUCCGGUGUCUGAGGCGUCCACCUCUACCACAAAGGGACGAGUAGGAUCAGGAUGAACGAGGAUAGGUCCGGAGGUGAAACGUCCCUUGAGCUCUAUGAAUGCCCUGUCAGCCUCGGGAUUCCAGCAAAAACCUGCUUGAGUGAGGUGGGACAGGGCUGUAUGUGUUGUCGUCGAUGUAAACAAAGAUGAACCGGUUCAACAUAUCCCAAAGAGUGUCAUUGAUCAAUGCUUGGAAGACUGCCGGUGAGUUCGAUAUUCCGAAGGUCAUGACUAAAUACUCAGUUACCACUAGGGGUGUUAAAGGCAGUUUUCCACUCAUCUCCCUCCAUGAUUCUCAACAGAUUUUAAGCAUUGCGGAGGUCCAGUUUGGUGAACAUUUGGGCUCCUACGGCCAACUUGAAGGCGGCGGACAUCGGGUAGGGAGUAACGAUUCUUGAUCGUAAUCCUUUUCAGCCCUCUAUAAUCGAUGCAAGGACUGAAGUUUGGGUCAGAGACA